UACGUAGGAUGCAAGCGUUGUCCGGAUUUACUGGGCGUAAAGCGCGCGCAGGCGGCGGUGUAAGUAAGGUGUGAAAUCUCCCUGCUCAACGGGGAGGGUGCACUUUAGACUACACAGCUAGAGGUCGGUAGAGGGGGGUGGAAUUGCUGGUGUAGCGGUGAAAUGCGUAGAGAUCAGCAGGAACACCCGUGGCGAAGGCGGCCCCCUGGGCCGUACCUGACGCUGAGGCGCGAAGGCUAGGGGAGCGAACGGG
rnacentral:rRNA from 1 species